rnacentral:sRNA from 1 species
GACCACUCUUUUGAGUUGAGGCCAUACGGACAGCCGGGUCCACUGCCGA